ACUGAAAAUCUUCGGAGUUGUGGUCUGGAGAAGAUGUAGACAUGGGGGUAGAUCCUAGUAAAAUCGUCUGGAAAGGCGUGCCAAGGAGGGUGACAGCCCCGUUCAUACUAGGGUCGAGUCCGUUCUACUCUUCCAUGAGUCGAGUUGUUUGGGAUUGCAGCUCUAAUCGGGUGGUAAAUUCCAUCUAAAGCUAAAUAUGGGUAGGAAACCGAUAGCAAACAAGUACCGUGAGGGAAAGAUGAAAAGAACUUUGAAAAGAGAGUGAAACAGUACCUGAAAUUGCUGAAAAGGAACCGAUGGGAGGCAGUGGGGCGUUGUUUCCUUUGGACGCAACAUAUGCCGGUCUCGCUUUUUUCUCUGCGUGGGAAAAGGACUUCGGUCUUGUCAUGCGUGGGAAAGAGUGAGACAAAAUGCAUCUCAUCAACCCGUCUUGAAACACGGACCAAGGAGUCUAACAUGUGUGCAAGUGUUAGGGAGUCAAAUCCCGAGCGCGAAAUGAAAGUAAAGGCUCUGAGCCGAGGUGGGAGGGUAAAACCGCACCAUCGACCGACCAUGAUUCUUCGGAAGAAAGGUUUGAGUGUGAGCAUACAUGUUGGGACCCGAAAGAUGGUGAACUAUGCCCGAGUAGGACGAAGCCAGGGGAAACUCUGGUGGAGGUCCGUAGCGGUUCU
rnacentral:rRNA from 1 species